GGCCCUCACGUGGACGCCCGCUCUGCCUUCCGAAGGCCAGCUCUUCUGAGUGACCACUGCUGCCUGACCUGGCCCUCCUUCACUGGGCAGCUGGUGGAUAGCUGAGCGACUGCAUGUCCAGGCUCACAAGUUGACUCAGCCAGAGGUCAGGGGACAAGGGCUGUGGGGACACAGGUGUCUCCCCAGAAUCUGGCCCCUUGAGCACCCUCCCUGUGCUCCCUGCAGAGCCGUGUCCAUCAACAUUCCCUUGUCUUUUAAUUUGGGGAAAGAGGACAUGAAAGGCAAGAAACACAGUGGCGGUGGGGGGCGGGCAGGACGUCUUGUUGGCUCCCCGGGAAGGCUGGCAAGAUGGAUGGAGGGCCCCCGCCGUCCUCUGAGCUCACGCUGUUUGGCUUCAAAGUCGUUUCCCGCGUGAUGCAUUGUGCUAUCUGGAAGAUCGAUUCCCCCUUCUCAAGACCACAGAAGAGUCUCCGUGUUUCAAAACGCAUUUGGGCUUUUUAAAACUAACAUAUUCAGUCCCGUUGCCUCUGGGAUCUGUAAGCAGACCCAGUUCCUGCUAUUUUUGGGAUCAUUUCCAGAAAAAUAAUUUACUUUUCAUUGUGGAGUCUGUCAGGCUAAGUGGAGUGAGUCUCUUUGUGGGGCUGGACGAGUAAAUCCAGUCCUGAAAAAGAUGGGGAUUUAAAACCUUUCCUGCAGAGAGGGCUCGUCGCUGGGCCUGCCUCGUAGCUGGAAAUCAAAAGGAGCUGUCAGGAGGCCUGUGCACGCCACACGCUUUGCUAUCGUCUAUCAGAAAAAUGCAGACAGACGCAAGGAAGGAAACAAAGAUGACCUUCAUUUCCACCAUUCAAAGACGAUGUUUGCCGACUCUGGUCAACAAGGAAACAGAAGCCGUGUUUAGACACGUGAGCCCUAAGGCCUGCUGGUUCAGAAGGACGAGUUAGGGCACUAGUGGAUGGCAGAGACCCCCACUAGAGAGACCCUCUUUGAUGUCAUGAGGAUGGAUCACAAAGCUGAUACCCGUCACGUCAGGUGGAUUCAAAGAAUCUUCACCAGAAAUAUUGAACUGGAACGGAGAAUUAAAUUUGCCCAAGUUCAAAUGUGGUUUGCUGUCAUGGGAGCAAAUGGCCUCUCUCCUGAUUUCUGUAAUCCCCUGUUGAUCGUUGGGUGGACUCUCCUGAAGAAACUGAUCAUUUGCUCAAAUGAGAACAUAAUAAAAAUGGCCUCUAUUUGCUAGUAACUCAGGCAGGUGGAACUGAAUUUAUUCAAAUCCCAGAGCAAAUAUUAGACAGCCGACUCCCGUUCUGGGACCUGGCUAUUCUGUUUUUCUCCUGGUCUUCCAAACAGGGACAAGUGACACUUGGCCUGUGCGCCACCUGGUUCUCCUCACACGGCUCCUGAGACCUGGAAGAGCGGUCCUGCUCACCUCUCUGACCACAGAGAAGUUUAGUGAGUUGCCUAAGGUCACCCAGCAGGAAAUCUGAGGAGCUGGAACUUGAUACAGGUCUAGCUGACUGCUGGCCCGCACCGUCUCCACGUCAGGGCGCCUGAAAACACUCACAGGUACUUGCAGGACGUGGCCUCGUCCCCUAGGGGUGAACAGGGGAUGGGGCAGUGCUUGGCACAUCUGCGGCUGGGGCCACGUUACUCCUGCCUCAAACCUUUCAGCGGCUCCCCGUUGCCUUCUGGGUAGAGCCGAAACUCCUGAGCCAAGCCUGCAGCUCCCCGGGAAGACCGUCCUCACUGCACCGACUCUGCACGUUGGGUCAACAUACUUUUUCUCUUUUUUAAAAUAUUUUUUUUAGUUGUAGAUGGACACAAUCCCUUUAUUUUAUUUACUUUUAUGUGGUGCUGAGGAUGGAACCCAGGGCCUCGCACGUGCCAGGUGAGCGCUCUUCCACGGAGCCCCAGCCCCAGCCCCCACACUUUCUCUUAAAGGACCACAGAGCAAACAUUUUAGGUUUUCCUGGCCACGCACAGUCCCCCUGACGGCAGCUCUGCCCUGCACCAGGAAAGCGGCAAGAUGCCAUCCAAGGAGCAUGGCUGUGUCCCAACGAUGGACACAAGUGCGCAGAACAGCCUGCAGAUUGCCGACCCUCGUGGGUGGAGGGAAUUAGGUAACUGGAGGAAAACCCACUUGACCCCCAACUUGGGGAUGCUGGUGCCUGGGUCCUCAGCCCCACAUAGACCAAGCCAGGCACUUGGAGGACUCGGCCGGGCAUCCUUGUUCACGAUGACCCCCACGAGGGGAAUUGUUCUCUCUAAUUCAAAGGGAGACCCUGAGGCGUAGGAUGGCAAGGAGCUCACUGAAGUCACACAGCAGGAAAUGCAAGACAGAAAUUAAAGAAGAAAAGUGCCCCACAGGUUUGGCAGCCACAGGUACAAAAAGAUCUCCCGGCACCCAGUGCCCUCGGCCCCUCCCGGGAACGCCAAACGAGGGGCAGGGGCACUGUGGGUGCCCUGCCGUGCCCGACUCCUCAAAGGAGCAGGGUGCUUGGAGUGAGGACCGCGGCUCAGUGGCUCUCCCUGGCCCAGGGAACACAUCUGCAGCAUAGGCCCCGUGGGCUUCUCUGACCCUGGUCCCCUCUUGCUUAGGUGUAGAAACUAGAGGGCUCUGUGCUCCUGGCCUCCUGGGCACGUCCGCUGAGCGCCCCCCCCCCCUGCGCAGCCCUGGGAAUCCCACGCAGAGCGGGUCCUCCUUGGGGGGCUCAGACUCGACCUUCCAGGUGAUUCUGUUUCUUGAGGCUGUUUUUAACCCCCGAGGUGCGUGUUUGCGGCCAGGAAACGUCCACAGGUGCAGAUGCUCUGCUUCUGCCAGGGCUGUCAGCUUGCUUUGGAUGACUUCCUGCAGAGGGAAAUUAGAAAAUCUAAACCAAAAAAAUCAGAGGAAAAAGAGGCCGCUGUCCACGGGAGGCUUCGCACAGCCUCUCAGGCAGCCGAGAUCUGAAGGCCGAGGCCCAGGAGGCAGUCCCUGAGCUGAGCCCGAGUCUCAAGCCAUGCUUCUUGAGCACCUGCUGCUUUGGAAGUGGAGGUCCGAGGGGAGGGCGGAGCAGGCGCAGCAGAGCGCCAGAGAGAGGCCAGCCUGCCUCCCCAGGUAGGGCCUGGCAAGGAGGAGGCCCCGGGACACCCAGGGCUGAGGUGGGACUCUGCAGAGCCGCCCCUGGAGGCCCUGCCCGCCAGUCUGCUCCGUCUCGACGAGGCUGCUCUUCUCCUGGCCUUGCCGUUGGCCAGAGCAGGCAGGUCUCGGGGGCAGACUGGAGGGUCCCUGUGGCCUCCUCACCUCCUCGGCCCCAGCUUUCCCUGCAGCCCCUGGUGUCACAACUGACUCUGCUGUUGUCACUCCACAGCACGGCUCUCAGCCUCCACCUGGCUCUGCCGUGCUGUGCCACCCAGUUUCUCUGGUGCGGGAACAACACCAGCCUCAGCUCUCUCUCUCUCUGGGUGUAAAUUAAUAAGCUGAGUCUUCACUUUGUAUGAAAGUGGGAAGAUCCAGGAGCCACCAAGCCAUCUCAGAGACAGACGAGGCGGGAGGGUUCGUGGUGCUCACCAGUGAGACUUCUUAACAGGUGACACAGUCAAGAGUGUGCUGUUGGCACAGGGAACUGAAAAGAAUAGAAAGUUCCUGACACAGACCUGUGACAAUAUGAUGUGACAGGAGUCAUGACCAAGGUGGCCUUGCUGAGCGAUUGCGGGAAAAGGUGGUCUUUUCAGGGGCUGUGGCAGGGUCAGCCAGAUGCCCACAGGGAGAAGUCAUGGAGCUUGACCCCUGCCUGGAAAUGACCAGCCCUAGGUGAAGAACAGGAAGCCGCUAUCCAGAAGACAACCAGGCGGGGAGCGUUGUCACGACCUUGGAGUAGGGCAGGAUUUCUUAAGCAGGACUCGACAGCAUUGACCGCACGUGAAAGACCUGCAAAUCGGAUGACACUGAAAUUAAGAACUUUUGCUUAUCAAAGGCACUUAAGAAAGUGAAGAGAGAGCUGGGCAGGGUGGCCCCACCUGCACUCCCGGCCAGCUGGGGGCUGUGGCAGGAGGACCCAAGUUCAAGGCCAGCGGGCAACGCAGUGAGACCCUGUCUCAAGAUAAACAACAGAAAGGACUGGAUGCAGGCCACGGUAGAGCACCCCGGCUCGAUCCCCAGUAACCCAGCCCGGAAAAAAGUGAAGCCACAAGUCAUAAAACGGGAGAGGUGUUUGUGACAUGAAUUACUGGGAAAGGGUCACGUUUGGGAUAUGUAAAGAAACCCUACAAACCAGUAAGAAAAGCUCCCUUUCCCGAUUUGAAUAGUAAAUGGCAAGAAUCUCAACACAGUUCACAAAAGAUAAUAUCCACCUCUCGGUGCCGGCUUCCCUGGGCCCUGGGGGAUGCUGAUUAAAGGUUCCUGAGAUGCUACUAUGGACCUUUUGAGUGGCUGAAGUCAAAGGGACCAACAAUGCUCAGGGUACGAUGUGAAGCCCAGGGGACCUUCACCCUCUUCUUUGGGGAGUACAAAUUCAAACGGCCACUUUUGACAGCCGUCUGGCAGUGUCAGCUAAAGAUCAACACGUCUUCUGACCCCAUGUUUCCUCUCCUGGUACAGAUUCAGAAUCAAGUCCUUCUGCAUGCCCAAGAUGCGGAUACCUUUCAACUGUCCAAAUGUCCAGGGACAGAAUGGAUGGAAACAGUCCUGGUGUAUUUUUACAACGAGGCGCCGGGCAAUAGGAAUGAACGUAUUACAACUUCCGCAGCAAUACGACAGGGCUCAGAAACAAGCCAGACGUGAGACAGUCCUCAUUGCAUUAUAAAAACUUAAUUUAUCCAAACGAUAAAUGCCAUAUAAAUACAAGGCUAUAAAGUUUAAUGCAGACAAAACGAUGACUAUCUUGGAUGUCGGUAAUGUGGUUACGUCUGGGGAGGAGGAAGGAGGCCUUGCAGAUUUUUAGGAUAUUUCGUUUUUUCCUGGGUCAGGCUCACACAGAUGUGCUCUUUGUGAUAAUCCAGUGAGCGGGAGACUUUGCUAUACGUGUGUCUGCCUCAAUAAAAAUUUAAGAGUGUCAGCUAGAAAUAAUGAAUGCUUGGAAAAGUAAUUGUAUUUAGCCGAUGUGCAUGUGCCAAGCCCUGUGCCAAGGAAACUGAAGAGAUAGGUCAGGGUCCCUUCCUGGGGGUUACAAAAAUGGAGAAUCGUGUUGACCUGGUGGGCCAAGAGCGAGGUGCCUCCGUGGCUGGGGAGAUGGCACCCAGAGCAUCUGCAGGCUCUGCGGGGAGCCGGAGGCCACCUGGGGCCAGGCAGGGAAGGGUGUUCCCGGCAGAGGGAGCUGCCCAUGGCAGGGCUCGCUCUUGUAGAAUAAGAGGCUCGACGCACUUGAGGGACCCAAAGGCGCCCAUUGUGAGCGGGCACCAGGAAGGCUGUGAGGGUAGUGGCCAGACCCUGUGGUUUCCUCUACACCCUGCCAACAAGUUGGAGCCUUACUCUGAGGGCAAUAGGGAGCAGGAAGGGUACCUAGGGUGAGGGGACGGGGCAACAGGCUCAGACUUGAGACUUGAAGUGUCGAUGGCGACUUCCGGGUGGUCAAGGGUGGAGGUUCAGAGACGAGCGAUUGAUAGCUGCAGCCGCAGGAGGCACGGGGUAGUGGCCCAGGAAGGGGGGUCUGGGAAGGACGUCGGACCAGGGCCUGGGGCUGAGCUGGCUUGAGAGGAGCUGGGACACCCCGGGCAGUAAGAAGCCACUUCCCAGGACAUGUGAGGAGCAGGCUUCACCCGCAUCCACCACCCAGGGCUCCAGGCUCAGCGGCAUCCGCCCUUCUGUUUACAAGAAGCCCUGGGAGCUGACAGAGGGGACAGUGGAGCCAGCAUCCUGACAAAGUGACCACAGCGUCAGCAAGAAGCUGCGAGUGAAAUUUCCCGACUUCUGCACCAGACCUGGGUGCGAAUCCAACACUGCAUCUUCCCGUGGGCCCCGGCGCUGCCUUCUAGGAGCUGGGCGUCAGGCGUGGUGUGGUCUGGGCACUGAGGUCCCCAGGAAACCAGGGUCGGAUGUCCGGCAGGUGGCAGCCUGGCCCCGGGACCUCCUGACAGCAAUGUCUGGGAUGGCCAUCUGCGGUUCUGACCAGCCUGGCCCGGCUGGCCUCUCCUGGAAAGAGCUUCUCAGUAUCCUUGUGGGGAACCUUCCCUUCUCCAUGGUCAGCCCCGAGGGCAGAUGGACCUGGCCCCACCCAGCUGCAGGCGUAGGUGGGGCCCAGGGAGGGAAAGCUCUUCUCAUGGAGCUCCUGGAAGGAUGGGUCAGCUUCUCAGGGUGUGCCCAUCGGGUCCAGUCCUGGCCGCAGGGGUGCCUUCUGAUUGGAUGGGCGUGGCUCAGUGGCACCUCUCUGUGGGGGAUGGGCUGAGCCUCCCGCUCAGGAAUGGCGGGGGGCCGGGGGGCGACCUCCACCCCGCGGCUCUCAUGCCCUGGCACGUCCCCCACGCCGUGUAGUUUUGUCUUGCCAGCUGCCCUGCCCCUUGGCAGCAACAAAGAGCCAGUGUCCCCGUCUCAUCUCGGAGGACCUGUCGUCAAGGCUUCCUGCCCCUGCUGGCCGAGGUGGGCAGGAGGAGGCUGCAGCUUGUCUGUGGCUUGUCCUUUGACUCAAGGACCAAAAGUGGCUGCAGCUGACCAGAUGGAGCCCCGCAAGUGCCGGCCAGCUGUGCCCGCAGACCUGUGUGACCUGGCGCUGCCCUUCUCCAGCCGCUCUUAAAUGUUCCUUUCAUUUUUAGGCUCAACUCAUUUCCCUUUAAAAUAAUUCUCAGCGGUUUAAUCUUUCUUUUAAAAAAAACUGAGGGAGAAUGAAAUGAUUUGACACCUACCAUCGUAAGGUGUGCGAGUCGGUGGCAUGAACCGAGUUCACCGUGUGCACCCCUCUCUAGUUCCCAAACAUCCCCAGAGGAUGUCCCUGCCCCCAACACCCCACCCCAGCCCCUCCCGGCUGCCCCCGGCCACCACAGAGUGCCUUCUGUCUCCGGGCGCCUGUUCUGGAAUCUGAUGGACACAGGGGUUGAUGGACACUGGGGUUGGUUGUUGGACAUGGGGUUAGCUGAUGGACGCCAGGGUUGAUGGACAUGUGGAUUGAUGGACGGAGUCAGCAGCCUGUGACCUCCUGUCUGGCGUCUUUCCCUAAGCAAGCUGCUCCCGGGGCCUCACACCGCAGGGGCACCCAGUGCCCUUCCUGUUCCAGAGCUGAGCAAUGACCCACUGUCUAGGCCCACAGCGUCUCGCUCAGCCAUCAUCAGCUGAGGGACACUGAGGUUGAUGGACAUGGGGGUUGAUGGACACGGGGUUUGAUGAACUCUAGGACUGGCUGCGGGACACCAGGGUUGAUGGACACCAAGGAUAAUGGACAUGGGGGUUGAUGGACACUAGGAUUGGCUGAGGGACACCACAUUGGCUGUGCCUUGCUGUGGCGCGCGGCAGCCUGGGCAUGUCCAGCUGCCUCUUGCAGCUGUGAGGCGUCCCUGCUGACCAGGCCGGCAGAGCUCUCUUCACAGAGGGCUGUGGGACAGCGCGAGGAGGGCGGGAGGGAGUGGGGAGGGCAAGCGCCUGACCGGCCAGCUGAGGUGGCUCCAGGGUGUUUGCAGAGGAGACGAGGUUUGAAGGUGUGGGCUGCAUGCAGAGGCUUGUUCUCCUAGGGCGGGGCCAUCCUCCGACCCAGGAAGGCCUGAACAGAAGGACGAGGCAGAGGACGGGUGAACUUGUGCUCCUGAUGGAGCUGUGACACCGUGUUCUGCUCCUGGAAUGGCCGCUCCUGCCCUUGGGCCUUUGAUGAAGCCUGGGACACACACUGACCCCGGCUCCCCAUCAGGCCUUCAGGCUUGGAGUGGACAUACCCUAUGGCUCCCUGGUUCUUAGGGCUUGAGUCGAAUCCCACCUGCUUUCCUGGCUCUCCUGCUGUGGACAGUGGUGGGGGGAAUCCUGGCUUCUGUAAGUGUGUGAGCCAGUUCCUGUUAUGCGCCUCUUGUGCAUGCCCAUGUGUGGCUGGGCACUGUUCCCUGGAGGACUUGGGCUGCCACUUAGAGGACCCAGCUUCAGCUGUGCCUUCUAUGCGGAGCCAGGUGCCUUCUGUGGGCUGCCAGGCCCCCACAUGCCCACGCUCAUGGACCAAGCAGUGAAUGAGCUUUUUCCCAGUUGGCUGGAGUUCUCAUCUUGGAAAAUAUAGAACAGAGAGAAAUCCACUUUGUUCGAGAUCCUUUCAGUAAAAAUACACAGCUUCUCAGUGAUGCAAAGCCAUCUCCUGGGGACGGAGGGGAGAACCACGUCCUGACUCUCUUUUAGCUUAGACAGGCCAGGGCUCCCGUCCCAGGUCGGCCACCAAGAAGCCCUGGGGUCUUGGGACAGUUACUUCACCAUUUUGAACCUCGUUGUUAAAGUGAGGCAGAUGCACUCGCGACCAGAGUUAGCUAUUGUUAUCAUGGUUCACUGCUGAUCGUCCCACAUUACUAACACCAGGGCCAAGAGUACUCAGCGUAAGGCAUGCAGCUCACCCAAGCAUUUAGAGAUGACAGAGCUUCUCGCCCGGCAGUGGCUGGUGCGGACUCUCUGGGCCUCCAUGUCUUCACCUCUGCAAUGACUCUCUUUUGAGGAUUUGCUCUGAAGGUCUUGCUAAAUAAGUUGCUGGGGAGGCUGAGCACGCGGCAGGCCUGGGUUGGCAGAGUUGAACUUCCAGCUCUGCCACUGGCUGUGUGACUUGAGCUACUAACCCAGCCUCUCUGAGCCUCAGUUUCUGUGUCAGUAAAAUGAAGAUAACAACGGUGCUUACAACUCAGGGGGUUGCGGUUGGAACUGAGUUAAAAGUGUGAAACGUUGAAAAAGUGCUGGGAACCCAGUGAGCACUUAAUAAUAAGCCUGAUAUGAUUACCACCGCUGGAUGCUGUGGUGCACUGGGAUUCCGGGGCCCCUCCCCUCAUGGAGUCUGGGGCACAGGAGGGGGUGGGUCAGGCACAACCCAGGGGGACAUUCCAGGUGUAGGUGCUUAGGAGGGCACUGACCUGAGCCGGGCCCGGAGCUGGGCGGCUUGGCUUGGAAUUCUGGCCUCAGACGGACUAGCCGUAGAGAGGACGUCGGCUCUAGGAGUCCACACCUGGCCCCGUGUCAGGAGCAGGAGCUGGACACGGGGUCAGGUCUACUCCUGCUCCCCACCCCUGCCGGGCCCGUGGAACUCCGGCGCAAGCCGAGGUGAAGCUGAGAGCUGACUCUGCCGGGGGACUCAGGCAGGGGACACGGGGUACAAGCGGCAGCUGUGGCCAGCAGUCUGCGAGGGCAGGCGGGAUGAGCAGGGAGGCCGAGGUAGCCGGGCCCAUGUUCAGUGACCAAGUGUCCCCUGAGCCCCUUUGGAGCCUGGCCGCUCAGGUCCAGCAGUGCACGGGGGACUUGGUGGUUUAGCCUUCAGCCCAGGAUGGCGGGAGCCUGUGCAGGAAAAGGAAGCAGGAAAGGCCCUUCAGGAAAGAGGCAGAGGCCGAUCCGGGAGGACUCAGACCCCGGCCCCCACAGGGGCCUGCAGCCCCAUCUGGAUGGAGCUGUCCUGAUAAAGGACGGCCGGGCACCCUGGGCCCUUUCCCUGUCACCCCCAGACCUCGAGGACCCCUUGGGAGGGCUGUCAUGUAAGACACGGGGCACCCCUUGAAGCUCGAACUUCAAGUAAACCAUGUUCGGCCUGAGCGUGUCCCCGUGUUGUGUGGGGCACUUCCCUGGUCACCUCUGACUCCCUGGCCCAGGGGGCCGUGUCUGGAGCUGACCGCGGCAUUUGGCGGAGCUCCAGGUUCCCCAGGGUGCCCACCCGUGCUUAUCCUGCCGCCCAAGGAGGGCAGACGGGGCCGCCAGGCGAGAGGGGCCCGGAGCUGCCCGGCCGGCCCUGGUCCCCUCCCCUUCCCAGUCACCACCCUGCAGCUCGAGUUCCCUGAACCAGGGCACCCUGAUGGCGUCCCGUAGCGCAAGUGUGGGAGACGGCUGUGGCAGGGGAUGGCCACAACGUGUCCUUCUGAAGGCAGCUCAUGGGCUGGAGGAAUCCUGACCCCAAGCCGACUCCGCGGGGAGUGAGGCCAAGUGUGCCCGCUGCCAUGUGGAAGGCCGCAGGCUCCCGGCCCAGGGGCUCAGCCAGGCCCGUGGAACAUCCUGUGGUUUGCCUUUGUCAGGUUGACUCCUGUCCUCAGGCUCGGCUCCCGUGAGAAGGCUAAGCCCCGCUACCCUCCUCCUUCAGCCACUGGGGAGAGCCACUUCCUCCUCCUCAGGGGCCGGUCUCCCAGGCGUGACCUGAGCUACUGGGUGCAAACGCCGAGCUCCGUGGUGCCUGGCACUGGCCAGUAUCCUCCAAGGUCAGCCUGGGAGCCACCAUCUCUGUGUUACCAGGGAGGAGCCAGCUCCGACCCCGAUCCCAACCUCCACCUUUCUGACACUUUGCCCCGGAUGAUGGAAAGGACCCCAUGGGUUCUCCUGCCCGGGGCCCGUGGACUUCUUCAAGAAGCUGAAGCUUACUUGGUUAUGAGACCGUGCAUAUUCAUGGACUAUAAUUUGGAAAAUGCACUUCUUGCCAAAAGAAGAAAAUAAAGCUCCCGGCGUUCCCAGCCACCCAGAGAAAACCACGCUGAUGAGCUUGCUGAGUAUUUUAAGACUUCGGGGGAAAUUUAAAAACCUAAAGCUGCGACUCCGUUCAUGGCUCUCAGCCACAGCCUACGGUCUCUGCAGUCCACCGGGCGGCUGCGCUCCGAGCCCCGCGCCUGGCCGGGGGCUGCCCGUGCUCUGUGGGGGGUUUGGCGCCGCCCGGCUCGGCCCCCCCCCCCCGACGCCAUUUGCACCCUCCCCCACGCACGUCAGGACUGUCAACAGUGCCUCCGGGUGGUGCCAGGGCCCCACGGGCCCUGCUGGAGCCUGGCUGGGUUCACGGCACCCCUGGGAUUGGUGGCUUCUUUGAUGAGGCCCCCCCAAAUCCCAAGCAAGUUCACAGCAAAAACGCCAGUGGCUUCGGCAGGCCCUUCUCUCCCGAGCGAGAGGCACGGCUUGUCUGCAGCCCUGGGACUCCGACCAAGAACGUGGCUCUGCAGCGGAUCUGCUUCUGCCCCCAUCUCUGCCCCCAGCUCGGAAAGUUCAGGAAAGUGACUGAACGUUUCAGUGCCUCCGUUUCCCAUCUGUAAAUGAAGGCAACCGUGGAACCCGUGGGGGUGCGCAGAUGAAAUGGGCUCACCCCAUAGUAAUGGCCAUGCAUCCAGUCCAGCACCACGUGCGUCCAGUCCAGCAAGAGGGGAGAGGAGGCCUAGAAACCACUAAGUGGGGUCCUGCCGAUGAGAAUCGCUGAGCAGGACGGGGCUCCAGACCAGGCGAAAGUGCUUGUCCACACCUCGGCUCCUCUCUAGACCCUGGGUGUGAUAGCUGUCCCCAGUGUCAUCAAGCUUGAGUGACAUCGGGUUAGCCUUGAGAUCUGGGACAGUGGAGUCCACUCUCCAGAGAAGCUUUAGUGUAAAAAGGCCAUUGUGUAAAAAGGUCAUUGUGCCCUGGGGCUCCCAAGUCUUUGAACUUUUGUUCUUUAAUUGUGAACCUCUGUGUCACCAUUCUGAGUGUGCAAUGCAUUAAGUACGUCCCCGUCCCCGUUGUACAGUCACGCCCUCGUCCAGCCGCAGAGCUCUGUCCCACCUACACCGGCUGCCCACCCUCCUCUCCACCCUCCGCCCCUGGCAGCCAGGAUUCCGCUUUCUGUGACUUUGAACUUGACCCUCUUCGGUGCCUUGUGGAGCAUCAGAGCUUUGGCAUCUGGCAUGUUUCACGUGGCACGUUUCCAUGUCAUACCCACGUGUGGCAUGUGUCAGACCCCCUGCAGUUCAGGCUGAGCGCAACUCCACUUCGGGCACAGACCGCGUUCUGUGUGCCCGUUGGUUUUCGGCUGGGCGUGUGGGUGGCUUCUGCCUUUCAGUGCUGUGUGUUCGGUGGACGUGGUGGCAAGUGUCCGAGCCCCCACACUCCAUCUUUUCGGGUCGGAACCUGGAAUUGGGGUUUCUGCUCCAAGAGACGACUCCAUGGCUGUUCUAGGAGCAAUUGCUUCGGGGGCGUUCCUACCAGCCACAAGCAAGGGCUGCGUGUUUCCACGGCCUCACCAACCCCCGUGUCUUAACCCAGCACCCUGGAUCGCACACCUCGGAAACAGAGUGGUGCGCUCAGGGCCCCUCCUCAUAGCGAUUCUUCAUUCCCAAAGAGCUUCUGACUUCUCCAGCGAGCUGCUGUGUGUUUGAACCUCCCGUCUGUGCCGCCAGGUGGGCGAGGCUGAACCGGCUCGGUGAGUCUAGAAGAUUCUGAGUCAGCACUCGGGCCUCCUCUUUGGGCCUCUGCUCUAGAGCAAGCACUCUGCCCCCGCUGGGUCCCCUGUUCCCAGUGUGUCACAGGGGCCACCUCCAACCUGCUGGUGGGGAGAGGCCGUGAGGCUUCUGCCACGGGCCUCACUCUGCGCUGGGCUGAGGACGGGCCCGUGAAGCAGGAUCAGCCGAGGAAGAGGAGCCCCAGGAUUCCUGUCCCUGUCCUGAGCAAGACCCCUCCACACCUGGGAACAGAGGUGGCUCUUUAUAGGUGACUGAUGCUCUGUCGUCUGAGGGACAAGAUUUCACACACAGCCUUUUCCAGCUGGCUUCUCUGUCACCAUCAGGACAUCUGUCACCAUCAUGGGAUGAUGCCAGUGGGGCUGCUGGGGACACACAAGCCAGCUUUGGUGAUCAACCCUCCCACCCGGUUGUCACUCCCCCUUUGGUGUCGUUGCUCUCAGGGUGGAAAACUUCCUGUCCUCAUGGCCUGAGCUGGUUCGUGAUGAAGCUCUCAGCCUUUAUUUGGCCUUCAUGUAGGAAGGUGUCAUCCUCCGGUGACGCGCCAUGAGUUGGCAGGUCUGUUUUGCUGUGAGUCUUAGGUAGGAGUCACUCCAUUCCCUCGGGUUCUCGUGACAUUCAGUCGUCAUCGGCAUCAUCCUUCCCGUAGGUGAGGUGCUGUCUUUGAUUUUCCUGGCAGUGACAGUUUCCCGUAUGUUUGGAUUUCAGGAAUCUGGCCACAAUGUAUCAAUGUGCAGUCUCAUUGUAUUAAUCUUAUUUGGGGUUUGCUGGGCUUAGACUUAUACAUUGAUGUCUUUCACCAAAUUGGGAACUUUGAGGUCAUGAUUCCUUUCACUUGAUUUUUCUUCUCGGAUUCUCUCUCCUCUUCUAAGACCCCACAUGUAUGUUACCCACAGGCUGCACAGGUCAGAGGCUCUGCUAAUUAAAGAAAAAAUAGUCUC